rnacentral:rRNA from 1 species
AACAGGAUUAGAUACCCUGGUAGUCCACGCUGUAAACGAUGCUAACUCGUUUUUGGGUUUUCGGAUUCAGAGACUAAGCGAAAGUGAUAAGUUAGCCACCUGGGGAGUACGAACGCAAGUUUGAAACUCAAAGGAAUUGACGGGGGCCCGCACAAGCGGUGGAUUAUGUGGUUUAAUUCGAUGAUACGCGAGGAACCUUACCAAGGCUUAAAUGGGAAUUGAUCGGUUUAGAAAUAGACCUUCCUUCGGGCAAUUUUCAAGGUGCUGCAUGGUUGUCGUCAGCUCGUGCCGUGAGGUGUUAGGUUAAGUCCUGCAACGAGCGCAACCCCUGUUACUAGUUGCUACCAUUAAGUUGAGGACUCUAGUAAGACUGCCUACGCAAGUAGAGAGGAA